UCGUUUAAAGCCAUUACGUCAGCAUCCUUAGCAAAUUUUUGAUCGUUCUAACCUAAUGGCAUUAGUACUCCCCGGUGGCAAGAAUGUUGUCACAAGAGAGGUAACAUCCAGAGAUCAGCGACAAGCCAAAGGCAUUUGCUGCAAUCCUCGAUCCCGCAGGCUGCAUCCCCCAGGGUCAUAAUACUCUCCCGAAGCAGAGCUACUUUCCCCCAAGUAUUUUACAACCCCCGAAACC
rnacentral:rRNA from 1 species